UGGCUCAGGACGAACGCUGGCGGCGUGCUUCAUACAUGCAAGUCGAACGAGAAGCUGACUUCGGUCAGUGGAAAGUGGCGGACGGGUGAGUAAUAUGUAGGAAAUCUGCCCUAGAGAGGGGGACAACAGAGGGAAACUUCUGCUAAUACCCCAUAUGAGCUUAGUUGAAAUACUAAUCUUGAAAACUCCGGUGCUCUAGGAUGAGCCUGCAUCUGAUUAGCUAGUUGGCGGUGUAAUGGACCACCAAGGCGACGAUCAGUAGCUGGUUUGAGAGGAUGAUCAGCCACAAUGGGACUGAGACACGGCCCAUACUCCUACGGGAGGCAGCAGUAGGGAAUUUUGCGCAAUGGGCGAAAAAGCCUGACGCAGCAACGCCGCGUGAACGAUUAAGCCCUUCGGGGUGUAAAGUUCUGUCAGUAGGGACGAAACUUGACGGUACCUACAGAGGAAGCACCGGCUAACUCCGUGCCAGCCGCCGC
rnacentral:rRNA from 1 species